UGCCCUGGCUGAGCUGGAUUAAAUUGGUGCUCUAGCGGGUGGGGCAGACCCUGGGCUAGCAGGCCUCAGGGAGAACUCCAAUGGCGUCUGUGUCAGCACGCCCACACCAGGCCACACCAAUGGCUGCCGCCAAUGUCCCAGUCCCUGGAGAGGUCUCACCCCUCACCGAGAUGCACUCAGGGCCUAUUAGGUCUUCACUGUCCAAGCGUGUGGGCCCUUUCUCACAGGGGAGAAAGAAUUUCUGGAGAGGAUUCAGAAGCUCUCAAGUUUCUAAAGGCCUUCGCUGGGAACUGGCGCACACAUCUGCCACAAGUUGUAUUGGUCAAAGCAAGUCAAAGAUUCAACAAAAAUCAAAGGUGGUGGUAGUGGAGAAGUAUCCUUCCCUCCAUGACUGGAACAAUUGCUGUUGAAAAAUAUAGAGAUUUAAUCCAAGAAUAAGGUCCUUCUGGACUUUGAUUUUCCUGAGGAAACAAACAUCUUCUGCCACAAUUUCACUGCUUCAUCAGAAAGUCAUGAAGGCUGCUGAGAUUCUCCUUGCUCAUCAAAAUCUCUGCCACAUUGUAUAUGUCGUACUAUCCAAGAAAAUUACCUAUGAAGCUCUCCUCUCACAAAAGAUAGCCAGAAGCUUCAGUGCAAAUGCUGAAGCCAUUCAAAGAUGUUUAACUGGCAAAUUUCCACUUGAAAAUUGUGACCUGAAAUUGGCUU